GUCCACGCCGUAAACUAUGAGAGCUAGACGUUGGGGGGCUUGCCCCUCUGUGUCGCAGCUAACGCGUGAAGCUCUCCGCCUGGGGAGUACGGCCGCAAGGUUAAAACUCAAAGGAAUUGACGGGGGCCCCGCACAAGCGGUGGAGCAUGUGGUUUAAUUCGACGCAACGCGAAGAACCUUACCACCCCUUGACAUGGGAAGUAUGGGUUCCUGAAAGGGAAUCCUUCAGUUCGGCUGGCUUCCACACAGGUGCUGCAUGGCUGUCGU
rnacentral:rRNA from 1 species